CUUAGAUUUGAUCCAAGGAAAGGUAACACUUUAGAACAGUUUCCUUGAAAGAUAUCAAGGAAAGAAGCAUCAUAUGAUAAUGGAUUUCUCCAUUAAGAGAAGAACGAACUCGAAAUAAGAUUUAGUUCGUUGGAUGUUAUCAAUUGCCCAUAUAUAGGAUAUAUAUACUUCUAAGACAAUAUGAUUGUCAAUUAGAAGAUCUUCCAAAAUUUUCAUGACUCCAUAGGAUAUAGUUGGAAAGAAAGACAAAUCUUAAUCAAUAUUUGUUUAAAGAAUUAUCUUGUGGGUAUCCUUAAAUUAACAUUUGGAUAUCACUUUUAUAAACCAACUAACAAAUGUUGUUUGUUGGGUAGUUCAUUGUAAUCCUACAAUAUGAUUUGCCUAACGCAAAUGAACGAGGGAUAGAACUCAAAGAAUGGGUUAUUUGAGAAACAAGAUAGUGAUCAACCAAUAUAACAACCUAGUUCCUAUACCACAAGCUCCAAGGUAGUCAAGAAGGAUUUAUAAACCAUCUCAGUUGAAUGGUUUGAACUUUAUGACUAUGUCAUAGAGUUACACCUCUUAAUUUGAAAGAAAUAAGAAUGAAAAUCCUUAUGACUACAUUGAAUGUAUAUACGACAUAUACUCAAGGAAAUGGUAAAGUACCAUUUGACCCGAAAUAAUGAAACCUUUAUAGCUAAUUGGUAGCUUAAGGUGACUACAAUUAAAGAGAUUGGUUGACUUGGAAGAAACCAUCUUUGUCGUAGUCUUGGUUUCAAUUAAUUCAAAGAUUGCUAGCUACAACUAAAUGGUGAUUCAAUGUUUAGACAUAAUAUGAGUUUCCGAAACCAUUAUUAAGAUAGUCUUGAUAAUAUAUGUCUAAAACUAUGAAUCACAAGACAUGUAAGUUGUAGAGAUCCAUCCAUCAUGGAUCUUAGCAAGCUAGUGGGAGCUAUAAACGUCUUAUGAGAGAAAGAUCAAAUCGUUUGAUUUCUCAUAAAGAUGUAAAUGAAUCCUUUGUUUACUACGUUUACAAAAGAUUAGUGGGAGUUAAUCAUGUUCCUAAAAUUGAAUAUAUAUAUAUAUUGUUGGAAAUGUGCCCUAAAGCCAAUCAUGUGAUGAUACUUUACGGACAUUUCACAUGUUAAACUAAUCUAGUUUUACAUAUAAAAGGCAUACAUUAUUGUUUGAGCCGUCUCAUAUAAAUGUUAUAUGCUUAAACGAUAAAGUCCAAGGAAUAUGUG
rnacentral:lncRNA from 1 species